rnacentral:rRNA from 1 species
AACGCGAAGAACCUUACCUGGGCUCGAAAUGUAGAGGAAUCCGGUAGAAAUAUCGGCGUCUAGCAAUAGACCUCUAUAUAGGUGCUGCAUGGCUGUCGUCAGCUCGUGUCGUGAGAUGUUGGGUUAAGUCCCGCAACGAGCGCAACCCUCACCCUUAGUUGCUCGUCCGCAAGGAAAGCACCCUAAGGGAACUGCCUCGGAUAACGGGGAGGAAGGUGGGGAUGACGUCAAGUCCUCAUGGCCUUUAUGCCCAGGGCUACACACGUGCUACAAUGGCCGGUACAAACCGUUGCUAACCCGCGAGGGGGAGCCAAUCGGAAAAAACCGGUCUCAGUUCGGAUUGCAGGCUGCAACUCGCCUGCAUGAAGCUGGAAUCGCUAGUAAUCACGUAUCAGAACGACGUGGUGAAUACGUUCCCGGGCCUUGUACACACCGCUAGUC